CCAUGGUAACAUGAUUCAUGUUAUCUCCCUCCUCUCUUCCAUUCCCCCCUCCCAGAGCUGACAAGCAAUUCUACUGGGUUAUAUAUGUAUUAUUUCAGCAAUAUUUUUUGACUGACUGGUUGAUAGAGAAGUUUGAGAAUCUGUUUAUUCCCAAAUUAUGAACUUGGUUCCAAAGUUAAUUGGAAUCCCCUAAGAAGAAAAGCCUAGUGAGGAGAACAAUCAAGAAGCAGAUGCCUUAUACACAACUCUUUCUGUAUAUAUGGCUAGCUGUCCCAGAACUAUAUCCUAAAAGAAAAAUAACAGUGUUCUGUUGGAGGCAAAGCUGGCCCCAAGUCCUCAAAAUUUGGAGUUUGGGUGUAUUCCUAGAGCCAUAUUCCACAAUACAUAGCUAAGGCUUCUUAACUUCAAAGGAUACAGAAUGCUGCAGCCUGAAGUCUCCAGAAAGCAAGCAACUGGUGUGGAAACAAGAGAGAGAACCUGGAUAGGUGACUUCUAAGAACUUUACAAAUCAUAUCUCAUUGGAUCCUCACAAUAACCUUUACAUUAGCCUCAUUUUAUAGAUGAAGAAACUGAGGCAAGCAGAAAUUAAGUGACUUGCACAGGGUCACAUAGCUAGUAAGUAUCUGAGGCUAGACAUGAAUCCAAGUCUCUCUGACUCUAGCCCCAAUGCUCCAUCUAACUGUGCCAUCUAACUGACUCUUUGUGGCCUCUUGUUCAAAUGCUUUCAUAUUGCAUUCCAUUUCUAUCAUGUACUUGGCAUAUUCUAAUUUUUUAUUAUUUGUGAAUGUUUCCUAUCUUCCCUACUAGAUCAUGAUCAGUCAUGAACUUUAGUAGAACGAACACUAGAUUUGGAGUCAGGAGGCUGGUCCUUGCUCAGUGUGUGUUUAUGGUGCUUAUAUGCUAUGUGACUAUGACUCAUGGAACAAAACAAUCUUGGAAGAAUCAAGACUAUGGAUGACCCAGAAUUACUCACUCUGGAAUUCAUACCUCUUCAGCACAUUCUUUUCAUGGGGACCUUUCCUUUUGGAUGGAAGCAGAGAUUGGAGGAUGAUGAGCUCCUUGAAAUACCUCUAUGUAAGGUAAGCACCAAGAUCAGUCAUCUCUUUCUUUCCCAUUGGAUUGCCCUACUCGGGACUUCUCCAUCAUCCCUCCCUAAAAGAGGAAUUCUCCCUGUCCCCCCUUCCUUUAAUGGAUUGUCUUUCUCUAUUAGAAUAUAAGUGACUUGAGGGCAGGAACUAUCUUUUUGCUUAUAUUUGUAUUCCCCACUCUUAGCACAAAGCAAGGCAAAAGUAGAUCCUUAAGAAAUCCUUCUUGACUGAGUAACUGAGGGUCACCUAUAUAGUCACUGAGGACAUCUUCAAUGAUAGUAUUAGUAGGGAACAAGUAGGUUUUCACAAAUGAUAUUCAACAAUGGGCACAUCUUUAACAUCUCACAAUUGAUGGAAAGAUGAAGAAAACAUGAAAUCCUAUUGUGCUUCUUGUUUAUUGAUUAUGAAAAAGAAUUCAACUAGGGAGGAACAAAAUGCAGCCUUCCAGGCUCUUUUAUAAUGUGUUUCCAAUCCAUAUAUCAAGAUUGUUCCAGAUUACUUGGAAGAUGCAACAGCACGAAUAAACCUGUAAAGCACAGGUCA
ensembl:lncRNA